GAUGAACGCUGGCGGCGUGCCUAAUACAUGCAAGUCGAGCGAACAGACGAGGAGCUUGCUCCUCUGACGUUAGCGGCGGACGGGUGAGUAACACGUGGAUAACCUACCUAUAAGACUGGGAUAACUUCGGGAAACCGGAGCUAAUACCGGAUAAUAUAUUGAACCGCAUGGUUCAAUAGUGAAAGACGGUUUUGCUGUCGCUUAUAGAUGGAUCCGCGCCGCAUUAGCUAGUUGGUAAGGUAACGGCUUACCAAGGCUACGAUGCGUAGCCGACCUGAGAGGGUGAUCGGCCACACUGGAACUGAGACACGGUCCAGACUCCUACGGGAGGCAGCAGUAGGGAAUCUUCCGCAAUGGGCGAAAGCCUGACGGAGCAACGCCGCGUGAGUGAUGAAGGUCUUCGGAUCGUAAAACUCUGUUAUUAGGGAAGAACAAAUGUGUAAGUAACUAUGCACGUCUUGACGGUACCUAAUCAGAAAGCCACGGCUAACUACGUG
rnacentral:rRNA from 1 species